UAAGUAAUGUUUGUCAGAAUAUGACAUUAGGAAAUUCGUGUGGUAUUUUUGAUAAAGUAUCUCUGUAAAGUUAGUGUUGUUCGAGCAGCAGAAGCGUGUGAUAAGGAACUUUUAAAACAAAACCCAUUUAGUGAAAAGUUGGUUUAGUUGAUAGGCAGUUUCGUUUAGUGAGUUAUACAAUUUAGUAGUCCUAUAGAGGAUAGAGGAAGCCCACAAGCUAGAGUCAGUUCGUUCAAGGAAAGUUAAGUUAGAACCACCCGAUAUGUCUUCAGACUUAGCUUUACCCAUUACAAUUAUAAUACUGCUAUUCGUCGUAAACGCAGUGGUCCUGUAUUAUAUUCAAAAGGCCAGAAAGAAGAACGCACUUGAAAUUAGGGACGAAGAAUUGGGCACGUUCACUGCAGGCCGAGCGGGACACAAAUAACAUAAAGAGAGCCUCAAAAUCGCCUUACAGUUAAUUUUAGAUGUUAAUUUUCUAAAAAGAGUAUGUACAUACAUGUAAAGAGAAUAAAGACAUUAUUUAAUGUAAAUUUUGUGAAACGUUUGAAUGCAACAGAUAUUUAUAUAUUACUAUUAGAUUAUAGAUUAUUUAUAAUAACUCUCGACCUUUUU
rnacentral:misc_RNA from 1 species